rfam:Gossypium raimondii Chr09_contig_752, whole genome shotgun sequence.
AUUUCGUGAUGAGGGCACUUCCGUAAUAAUUCUUAUAUACAUUUCCCAUGCCUCAUACAAGAACUCAUCAUCCAUUUGUUGGAAAGCAGUGAUCUCGUUCCUCAACUU